rnacentral:rRNA from 1 species
AGGUGCGAUCAUACCAGCAUUAAUGCACUGGAUCCCAUCAGAACUCCGCAGUUAAGCGCGCUUGGGCUAGAGUAGUACUGGGAUGGGUGACCUUCUGGGAAAUCCUAGUGUUGCACCCU